AAGGGGGGUUCGGCUCUCGCCUUUAGAUUGGCCCAAGUGGGAUUAGCUAGUUGGUGAGGUAAUGGCUCACCAAGGCGACGAUCCCUAGCUGGUUUGAGAGGAUGAUCAGCCACACUGGGACUGAGACACGGCCCAGACUCCUACGGGAGGCAGCAGUGGGGAAUAUUGCACAAUGGGCGCAAGCCUGAUGCAGCCAUGCCGCGUGUGUGAAGAAGGCCUUCGGGUUGUAAAGCACUUUCAGUCAGGAGGAAAGGUUAGUAGUUAAUACCUGCUAGCUGUGACGUUACUGACAGAAGAAGCACCGGCUAACUCCGUGCCAGCAGCCGCGGUAAUACGGAGGGUGCGAGCGUUAAUCGGAAUUACUGGGCGUAAAGCGUACGCAGGCGGUUUGUUAAGCGAGAUGUGAAAGCCCCGGGCUCAACCUGGGAACUGCAUUUCGAACUGGCAAACUAGAGUGUGAUAGAGGGUGGUAGAAUUUCAGGUGUAGCGGUGAAAUGCGUAGAGAUCUGAAGGAAUACCGAUGGCGAAGGCAGCCACCUGGGUCAACACUGACGCUCAUGUACGAAAGCGUGGGGAGCAAACGGGAUUAGAUACCCCGGUAGUCCACGCCGUAAACGAUGUCUACUAGAAGCUCGGAGCCUCGGUUCUUGUUUUUCAAAGC
rnacentral:rRNA from 1 species